rnacentral:rRNA from 1 species
UACGUAGGUGGCAAGCGUUUGUCCGGAUUACUGGGCGUAAAGAGCGCGCAGGCGGUCGUCCAAGUCGCGUGUGAAAGCCCCCGGCUCAACUGGGGAGGGUCACGCGAUACUGGUCGACUCGAAGGCAGGAGAGGGUAGUGGAAUUCCCGGUGUAGUGGGUGAAAUGCGCAGAUAUCAGGAGGAACACCGGUGGCGAAGGCGGGUCUCUGGGCCGAUACUGACGCUGAGGAGCGAAAGCGUGGGGAGCGAACAGG